GGUAUUGUGGCCGAUGUAAGGUGAUAAACUGUAAAUUUAUUUAUGAAGAUUUUCUUCUUUUACC
rnacentral:tRNA from 1 species